GGCGGCGUGCCUAACACAUGCAAGUCGAACGGAGAUUCAGAUGAAGCUUGCGAUUCUGAAUCUUAGUGGCGGACGGGUGAGUAACGCGUGGGUAAUCUGCCCUUAAGUGGGGGAUAACAGUCGGAAACGACUGCUAAUACCGCAUAAGCUGGCGGGAACACAUGUUUCUGUCAGGAAAGGUGGCCUCUUAACAAUGCUACCGCUUAAGGAUGAGCCCGCGUCUGAUUAGCUAGUAGGUGGGGUAAUGGCCUACCUAGGCGACGAUCAGUAGCCGGCCUGAGAGGGUGUAGGCCCCACACUGGAACUGAGACACGGUCCAGACUCCUACGGGAGGCAGCAGUGGGGAAUAUUGCGCAAUGGGGGAAACCCUGACGCAGCGACGCCGCGUGAACGAGGGAGCCCUUCGGGGUGUAAAGUUCUUUUCUAUACGAGCAGUGCUAUAUAUAUGGAUAGUAUAUAUAGAGGGAUAGUAGUAUAGGAAUAAGCAACGGCUAACUCCGUG
rnacentral:rRNA from 1 species